AAGUCCCUCAAAGCUAAAUGAUCCACCUCAGCCGGUCUCCUCUCCAUCCCCAAGUCCAACCUCUGCAGCUUUGGGGACAGAGCCUUCUGCA